rfam:Schistosoma rodhaini strain Burundi genome assembly, scaffold: SROB_scaffold0015996
GCACUGCUGAGGAGUCCCAUGGUAGGACGAAAUGGCCGUCCAGUGC